rnacentral:rRNA from 1 species
GAGUUUGAUUCUGGCUCAGAACGAACGCUGGCGGCAGGCCUAACACAUGCAAGUCGAGCGCACCUUCGGGUGAGCGGCGGACGGGUUAGUAACGCGUGGGAACGUACCCAGAUCUAAGGAAUAGCCACUGGAAACGGUGAAUAAAAAAGAUAAAAACCCUUCGGGGGAAAGAUUUAUCGGAUUUGGAUCGGCCCGCGUUAGAUUAGAUAGUUGGAGGGGUAACGGGCCUACCAAGUCUACGAUCUAUAGCUGGUUUUUAGAGGGAUGAUCAGCAAACACUGGGGACUGAGACACGGCCCCAGACCUCCUACGGGGAGGCAGCAGUGGGGGAAUCUUGGAACAAUGGGGCGCAAGCCUGGAUCCAGCCCUGGCCCGGUGAGUAAUGAAGGCCCUAGGGGUCC